UCGUAGUUGGAUCUCGGCGUGCGCUCAGGCUGGUCGGCCGUCAAGGUCUGUACCGUUUGGGUCACGCCCCACUGUAGGAUACUCACCGCUGUCCUUAACUGGGUGGCGGUCAAAGGGGGUGUGCAUGGGGGCAACUCUGUGCAUAUCUCUGGGGUUCCUACUCUUUUACUUUGAGCAAAUUAGAGUGUUCAAAGCAGGCAAUCGAGCCUUGAAUACUUCAGCAUGGGAUAAUGGAACAGGACUGGGGUCCUGAUUUCGUUGGUUUCUGGGAUCUCAGUAAUGAUUAAUAGGGAUAGUUGGGGGCAUUAGUAUUUAAUUGUCAGAGGUGAAAUUCUUGGAUUUAUGAAAGACUAACUUCUGCGAAAGCAUUUGCCAAGGAUGUUUUCAUUAAUCAAGAACGAAAGUUAGGGGAUCGAAGACGAUCAGAUACCGUCGUAGUCUUAACCAUAAACGAUGCCGACCAGCGAUUGGGAGACGUUACAUGGAUGACUCCCCCAGCAGCUUGCGAGAAAUCACAAGUCUUUGGGUUCCGGGGGGAGUAUGGUCGCAAGGCUGAAACUUAAAGGAAUUGACGGAAGGGCACCACCAGGAGUGGAGCCUGCGGCUUAAUUUGACUCAACACGGGGAAACUUACCAGGUCCAGACAUAGUAAGGAUUGACAGAUUUGAGAGCUCUUUCUUGAUUCUAUGGGUGGUGGUGCAUGGCCGUUCUUAGUUGGUGGAGUGAUUUGUCUGGUUAAUUCCGUUAACGAACGAGACCUUAACCUGCUAAAUAUGUCACUGGUAGACUUCUGCCAAAACAGGUGGGUGUCUAGGGGAAAGUUUCGAUGGACUCCGACGCAUUCAUCUGUGGAUGACUACCAGGAUGUACUUCUUAGAGGGACUAUCUGUAUCAAAGCAGAUGGAAGUUUGAGGCAAUAACAGGUCUGUGAUGCCCUUAGAUGUCCUGGGCCGCACGCGCGCUACACUGACAAGUUCAACGAGUUUAACACCUUGCUCGAUAGGGCUGGGUAAUCUUUGAAAAACUUGUCGUGAUGGGGAUAGAUCAUUGUAAUUAUUGGUCUUCAACGAGGAAUUCCUAGUAAGCGUGAGUCAUCAGCUCGCGUUGAUUACGUCCCUGCCCUUUGUACACACCGCCCGUCGCUCCUACCGAUUGAAUGAUCCGGUGAAAUGUUGGGAGCUGGGGUCUUUUGGCGGCGGGGCAACUCGUCGUCAGGGAUUCUGCAAACUUCAUUAAACCUUAUCAUUUAGA
rnacentral:rRNA from 1 species